UCGCUGAGCGACGAAAGCAGAAGAGGGGAGGGGGUGGGGUUGUGAGCGCUGCUCUGUGGAGUUGGGGGCGGCCUGCGAAGGUGUCAUGGCUGCUGCCGCUGAGCCUAGUCGCCCGUGCGUCGGUGACAGGAGCCUGGAGCAGAGCUGCAGCCCCAACCUCUCCCAAGAGGUGCUCUUCGAAAUCUUUCGCUCCCUGCAUACCCUGGCUGGGCAACUUAAUUUCAGAGAUGAUGUGGUGAAAAUUACAAUCGAUUGGAACAAGCUCCAGAGCCUCUCUGCAUUCCAGCCUGCUUUACUCUUUAGUGCUCUUGAGCAACACAUUUUAUAUUUACAGCCUUUUUUAGCAAAACUUCAGCCUCUAAUUAAAGAGGAGAAUACAACUGUUGCUGAAGAGAUAGGAAAAGCAGAAACAGGGAACAAGAAUGAAGUAGAGGCCACAUUUCCCAUUGGCAACCUACAGGAGGAAGAAAAGCACAAAGACUGUGAUUUAGGAGAUGUGAAAAAGGCACAGAUCCAUUUUGACCCAGAAGUAGUUCAAAUAAAGGCUGGAAAAGCAGAAAUUGACAGACGAAUAUCUGCAUUUAUUGAAAGAAAACAAGCAGAAAUCAAUGAAAACAACGUCAGGGAAUUUUGCAAUGUUAUUGAUUGUAAUCAAGAAAAUAGUUGUGCAAGAACUGAUGCCGUUUUCACCCCAUACCCCGGAUUUAAAAGUCAUGUAAAAGUUUCUAGAGUUGUGAAUACAUAUGGACCACAGACUCGACCUGAAGGAAUUCAAGGGUCAGGUCAUAAACCAAGCAGCAUGCUCCGAGAUUGUGGUAAUCAGGCUGUAGAAGAACGGCUACAAAAUAUUGAGGCUCACUUGCGGUUGCAGGCAGGUGGUCCAGUGCCAAGAGACAUUUAUCAGAGAAUUAAAAAACUUGAGGAUAAAAUCCUUGAAUUGGAAGGCAUCUCUCCUGAGUAUUUUCAAUCUGUAAAUUUUUCUGGCAAAAGAAGAAAAGUUCAACCACCUCAACAGAACUACUCACUAGCUGAACUUGAUGAGAAAAUCAGUGCUCUCAAACAGGCCCUGCUUCGGAAAUCAAGAGAAGCAGAUGCCAUGGCAGCUCACCACCUCCCAUGAAAAACUCCUCUCAUCCUUGUACUUUUUUAUAUAAAUGUAUGUAAUUUGCACUGUAAUUAAUUAAAUGGAUGCAUAUUUAUCAAUGUAGACGUCCCUCUGAAGUCUAGGUUGAUUUUCACAGGCGUCCAGCUUACAGCAAGUAACCUUCCAGUAUUCCAGUGAAUUUUGAAAUAGUUAAUGCAUUGAAAUUAGCGUUUUUAGAAUUUAUUUCCUUCUGUUUUAAAGGAGGCAUUUUUGAAAUAACAAAACUUAAUUUGAAAGUACAUCUUUUAUUAUGUGUGUAUAUCCCACAAAAAGAUGUUUUGAAUAGUGAUAUUUAUAUUUGUAACACUUAUGUUAACCAGUUUAUUAGUUUAAAUCAGUACUUUGUACAUAAUAGGCAUUCAACAA